rnacentral:rRNA from 1 species
UACGGGAGGAGCAGUGGGGAAUAUUGCACAAUGGGCGCAAGCCUGAUGCAGCCAUGCCGCGUGUAUGAAGAAGGCCUUCGGGUUGUAAAGUACUUUCAGUCGUGAGGAAGGUGUUAAGGUUAAUAACCUUAGCAAUUGACGUUAGCGACAGAAGAAGCACCGGCUAACUCCGUGCCAGCAGCCGCGGUAAUACGGAGGGUGCGAGCGUUAAUCGGAAUUACUGGGCGUAAAGGGCACGCAGGCGGUUAAUUAAGUUGGAUGUGAAAUCCCCGGGCUUAACCUGGGAAUGGCAUUCAAGACUGGUUAGCUAGAGUCUUGUAGAGGGGGUAGAAUUCCAUGUGUAGCGGUGAAAUGCGUAGAGAUGUGGAGGAAUACCGGUGGCGAAGGCGGCCCCUGGACAAAGACUGACGCUCAUGUGCGAAAGCGUGGGGAGCAAACAGGGAUUAGAUACC